CGCUGGUGGGUUGUGUAUCCCUCACGCUGUGUUAGUGUCCAGACAUGCUUCAUCGAUGAAGCCCUUCAAAACCCCGCCACUCCAGGCGGGGUUUUGUUUUAUG
rfam:Pseudomonas caspiana strain FBF102 scaffold00019, whole genome shotgun sequence.